rnacentral:rRNA from 1 species
UACGUAGGGUGCGAGCGUUGUCCGGAAUUAUUGGGCGUAAAGAGCUCGUAGGCGGUCUGUCGCGUCUGCUGUGAAAUCCCGAGGCUCAACCUCGGGCUUGCAGUGGGUACGGGCAGGCUAGAGUGCGGUAGGGGAGAAUGGAACUCCUGGUGUAGCGGUGGAAUGCGCAGAUAUCAGGAAGAACACCGAUGGCGAAGGCAGUUCUCUGGGCCGGUCCUGACGCUGAGACGCGAAGGCGUGGGGAGCGAACGGG